GUACAUCGCCUCGCUUAGGGGUUGUUGAAGCGCUUUUAGGGUCGCUUAGCGCUUUUUUGCGCUUAAGCGUCGCUUUUCACAACACUGAGCAAUAAUAGAUGACA
rnacentral:pre_miRNA from 1 species